GACGAACGCUGGCGGCGUGCUUAACACAUGCAAGUCGAACGGUGAAGCUCCAGCUUGCUGGAGUGGAUCAGUGGCGAACGGGUGAGUAACACGUGAGCAACCUGCCCCUGACUCUGGAAUAAGCGCUGGAAACGGCGUCUAAUACUGGAUACGAGAAGGGUCCGCAUGGGCACUUUCUGGAAAGUUUUUCGGUUGGGGAUGGGCUCGCGGCCUAUCAGCUUGUUGGUGAGGUAAUGGCUCACCAAGGCGACGACGGGUAGCCGGCCUGAGAGGGCGACCGGCCACACAGGGACUGAGACACGGCCCAGACUCCUACGGGAGGCAGCAGUGGGGAAUAUUGCACAAUGGGCGAAAGCCUGAUGCAGCGACGCCGCGUGAGGGAUGACGGCCUUCGGGUUGUAAACCUCUUUCAGCAGGGAAGAAGCGAAAGUGACGGUACCUGCAGAAGAAGCACCGGCUAACUACGUG
rnacentral:rRNA from 1 species